UACGGGGGGGGCAAGCGUUGUUCGGAAUUACUGGGCGUAAAGGGCUCGUAGGCGCCAACUAAGUCAGACGUGAAAUCCCUCGGCUUAACCGGGGAACUGCGUCUGAUACUGGAUGGCUUGAGGUUGGGAGAGGGAUGCGGAAUUCCAGGUGUAGCGGUGAAAUGCGUAGAUAUCUGGAGGAACACCGGUGGCGAAGGCGACAUCCUGGACCAAUUCUGACGCUGAGGAGCGAAAG
rnacentral:rRNA from 1 species